AGCAGCCGCGGUAAUUCCAGCUCCAAUAGCGUAUAUUAAAGUUGUUGCAGUUAAAAAGCUCGUAGUUGAAUUUCGGGAUCAAAUUGUCGGUCGUGCCUCGGUACGCACUGGCGUUAUUGGUUCCUCCCUUCUGAAGAACCGCGAUGUCAUUAAUUUGGUGUCGCGGGGAAUCAGGACUGUUACUUUGAAAAAAUUAGAGUGUUUAAAGCAAGCUCGCGCUUGAAUACAUUAGCAUGGAAUAAUGAAAUAGGACGUUUGAUUCUAUUUUGUUGGUUUCUAGGAUCGACGUAAUGAUUAAUAGGGAUAGUUGGGGGCAUUAGUAUUCAAUUGUCAGAGGUGAAAUUCUUGGAUUUAUUGAAGACUAACUACUGCGAAAGCAUUUGCCAAGGAUGUUUUCAUUAAUCAAGAACGAAAGUUAGGGGAUCGAAGACAAUCAGAUACCGUCGUAGUCUUAACCAUAAACUAUGCCGACUAGGGAUCGGAUGAUGUUAAUUUUUUAAUGACUCAUUCGGCGCCUUAC
rnacentral:rRNA from 1 species